rnacentral:tRNA from 1 species
GAAACGUUUCGUUUUUAAGUUUCGGCCUUAAAAUUUUAAGAGGUAUAUCUUA